UAGUCUCGCACAGAUGCAUAUCAAUAAGCGGAGGAAAAGAAACUAACAAGGAUUCCCUUAGUAACGGCGAGUGAAGCGGGAAGAGCUCAAAUUUGAAAUCUUCAAGGUUUUACCUUGACGAAUUGUAGUUUAAAGAAGUGUUUUCUGUUGAAGUUUUGGUAAAAGUUCUUUGGAAUAGGACAUCAUAGAGGGUGAGAAUCCCGUAUUUGACCAUUAUUUUCAGCUGUGUGAUACACUUUCAAAGAGUCGGAUUGUCUGGGAAUGCAGUCCAAAAUGGGUGGUAAAUUUCAUCUAAAGCUAAAUAUUGGCGAGAGACCGAUAGCGAACAAGUACCGUGAGGGAAAGAUGAAAAGAACUUUGAAAAGAGAGUUAAACAGUACGUGAAGUUGUCAAAAGGGAAGCGUUUGACACCAGUGUUGUUUUCUCGAAAAUCAAUUAAAAAGAGUUUGAUUUUGUUGUGUAUUGACCUUAACAGCUUGCAUUUCAAUUUUCUUGCUUUUUUUAAUGCACUUUUCGUUUAACAAGUCAACAUCAGUUUCUUUUGUUGUAAAAAGGUCAUUGGAAGGUGGCUUUCUUUUCGGAGAAAGUGUUUAUAGCCUUUGACUCCUGCAAUCGGAGAGACUGAGGUCUGCAGCGUAGAUCCUUCGGGGUUAGAUACAUUUGUGCUAAGUUAUAGCUUUUUAUAGACAACUUGUUGACUAUGAUUAGUCUUGUAGCUUACUCGCUUAUGCUAUUUUACCUACGCUUAGGAUGUUGAGCGCAUGUCUCUCUCU
rnacentral:rRNA from 1 species